UAGGUACAGCAGGUGAUUGCUAGAAAUAGAGGAAAGUCCGAGCUGCAGUGAGAUAGGGUUUUGUCUAACGGACAACCGAGGUAACUCGAGGGACAGUGCAACAGAAAGUAUACCGCCAUUUAUGGUAAGGGUGAAACGGUAAGGUAAGAGCUUACCAGCACUUUGAGCGAUCUAGGUGGCUAUGUAAACCCAACCCGCAGCAAGAAGAGUAUGGUAAAAAUCUCACAAUUUAUCUCUUUGCUAAAGCUCUUUUGUAAAAAAGAGACCAGACAAAUAAUCACCCAAUACAAAACUCGGCUUAUAGCUGUACCUUUAUA
rnacentral:RNase_P_RNA from 1 species